CCUACGGGCGGCUGCAGUGGGGAAUCUUGCACAAUGGGGGAAACCCUGAUGCAGCGACGCCGCGUGAGUGACGAAGCCCUUCGGGGUGUAAAGCUCUUUCGACGGGAACGAUAAUGACGGUACCCGGAGAAGAAGCUGCGGCUAACUACGUGCCAGCAGCCGCGGUAAUACGUAGGCAGCAAGCGUUGUUCGGAAUUACUGGGCGUAAAGAGUACGUAGGUGGUCUACUAAGUCCGAUGUGAAAUCUCCCGGCUUAACUGGGAGGGUGCGUUAGA
rnacentral:rRNA from 1 species